AGGGUUUACGUGGACGGUCGUUGGCCACCUACUGUGUGCAAGAGACGAAUACAAGCAGAGACUGCUGUCUGCCGGAGCCAACUCCGUGGCAGGGAUGGAUCAGACUGGACCCCUUCCCAGUCUCCAUUGCGAGGGAAAAGCCACUUUCAGAAAUAUUAUAUAAAGUGUACACCCCACGCUCGCACACACACAUACUAAUGAGCGCAUAUAAAACUGGUGAAAUCUGAGUAAGGAUUUCCAUUGCAGAGCCAGCUGACUUCUAUCCAGUGUAGGGCAAGAUGGAGGAUUACCUGGAGGAUUUGGUUUGUGGUGGACCCAGAAGGAUAGAUCAUUCAUUUAUUCAUUCGUUUAUUUAUUUAUUUAUUUGGUUGCUCUUCAUUCCACGUUUUUGAAUCAUCUGCUCUGUGCUGGGUCAUGUGCUAGGUGCUGGAGACCCAGGGGAGAAAGAUAAAAUAAAUAGAGUUAAAAACCAGUGUGAUAAGUGUUGUGAUGGCCGAGGGAGCCAGGUUUAGGAGAGGAGAAUAUGGUAAGGACUUUACUGCAGAAGCGACACCUGAAUGAAGAACCUGUAAGGAGAACGCACUUUCUCCUCUAGACAGUGGGGAAGAGUGGAAAGGUUUUCAACACCAAUGACUUAAUGCAUUGAGGCUAGGAAUGGAAGCUGUAUUUUCCCUGAAGAUUUUCAAUUCUUUACUUCCCUAAAGUAGACCUAGGUUAAAUUAAUGCCCAAUAAACAUAUUUAACAGCAUGUCUGAGGAAGAUUUUUUUAAAAUAGCCAAUUAGGCUAUCUUUGGACAUCUGUCUUACAGCUGUAAGUUUAGUAGUUAAUAGUGUGUAUCCUCAUUCCUCCUUUGUAACUGACGUUGAAGCCUUUCAUGCAACUAGACCAAGGUGUUUAAGAAAAAAAAUCAAUCUUCUCCACCCCAGAAAUGUAUCAAUGACUUACCUCAAAAUGUCACCAAGCAAGGCUUAAUUGUAUGCAGUUCAGGUUUCCUGCUAAUGUAUCUCAUGCUCAGCUUUCACUUAGUUUGUGUUUUAAUUACAAUUACUGUGAUUGGCUUGAUAAAUGCAUCCCAGGAGCUAAGCUCCCCAGUCCCAACAUUUUAUUUCUGUGCAAAGGAUGUUUUCGAGGAGGUAUUUUGCUUUAGGCAGCAGAAACCAGGCUGCAUGCAGUUGUAGUAGAAAAAGAAACACUUUUUCUGCAAACGUCAGAGACCAUCUGAGAUGCUGUGCUAUUGUUUAAUUUCAUAGAGGAUGAUUUGGGAGGGCAGAUGAUAGAAAAAGAAAUCGUUGGAGCUUCUUCCAUCCAUCUUGCAUAACCACCUUCGAAUCAGUUUGCACUGUGUCCCCUCAGGCAAGAGGCAGUGUAUGACUGUGCUCAAACCUCCAGAAUCCUAUUUCAUGUACGAAGAUGUUUGUCAUUCAGAAAUGAGCUCCUUGAAAUGCUUCGGCUUCUGAGGGCUGCACUGCAAGACCUGGGAGAAAAACCUGAGUACACAACUUGGCCUUGGUUGCAUACUGCCCUCUUCAGAGGGAAAAUAUUAUUCUCCCAGGCAUGCAGCAGGCUUCCGUUUGCUUUCUUCACCAAAGCCACUUUUAAUUGUUCAUUAAUGCUCCCCAGCUCUGGCCAGUGAAUGCCCUUCCCUUAGGAAUGUUCCUGGAAACUUGAACACACUGGAGCAGUUGAAAAGACAGAAGGAAGAAGAGUAAAUUGUGUUGGGCAUUUUUCUUUUUUCUUUUUUUUUUUUCUAGGCGGCCUCAUUCUGUCACCCAGGCUGGAGUGCAGGGCAUGAUCAUGGUUCACUGCAGCCUCCACCACCAGGCACAGGAUCCUCCCACCUCAGCCUCCUGGUUAGCUGGCACUGCCAUGCCUGGCUAAUUUUUUGCAUUUUUCAUUGAGACAGGAUUUCACCAUGUUGCCCAGCUGGUCUUGAACUCCUGGGGUUAAGCAAUCCAUCUGCCUCGGCCUCCCAGAGUACUAGAAUUACAGAUGUGAGUCACCACGGCAGGCCUGUGGUUUAGUUCCUAUGUGUUGGUUUUAACCAAGAAGUUGAGCUGCACUCUGGAUACCAGGCAGAAAACCAUUAUUCCAGUCUCAGAGCUUCCCUUUAACUAGUUGUGUGACCCCCCAGCAAGUGGCUUCACCUUUCAUCUGUAAAAUAAGGCUCCCAAACAUCCUGCCUCCCCAGAAGACAACUGCAACCUGUAUGUUUCAUGCUCUGUGCAGCAAAUGAAAACAUGUUGCAACUCAUAGAGUAACACUGAGUUGUUAGUUAUUUUCCCUCUUUGUUACGGCAAUCUUAAAAUGCCUUUUGCUAUUAAAUAUUUCGUAGUCAUUGGAAGUGUGUUUCCUUUUAUCCGCUGGAAUGUACCUUUAAAAGCAAUGGAGAUGAAUUUGAGAUGCCUUUGCUAUGGGACAUACAGAAAAAUAAAGCUAAUGUUUAUUGAGUGUCAAA